rnacentral:rRNA from 1 species
ACUCAAAUGAAUUGACGGGAGAGCGCACAACCAGUGGAGCAUGUGGUUCAAUUCGAGACGAACCGAAGAACCUUACCAGGGUUUGACAUGUUAUCGUGUUAGGUCUGCAGAAACGUGGACUGAUCUUAUUGAAAAAUGAGAUGAUAACACAGGUGUUGCAUGGCUGUCGUCAGCUCGUGCCGUGGGGUGUUCCCUUCAGUGGGGUAACGAGCGCAACCCCCGUCCCGUAUUAAAUAUUUACGGGAGACUUUUCAUCCUUGUGAUGGAAGGAAGUGGGGACGACGUCAAGUCAGCAUGGCCCUUAUGUCCUGGGCUACACACAUGCUACAAUGAAGCCGACAAUGGGUUGCCAAGUCGUAAGACGGAGCUAAUCCCAUCAAACGGCUUCUCAGUGGGGAUCGAGGGCUGCAACUUGCCCUCGUGAACGCGGAAUUGGUAGUAAUCGGAAAUCAGCUAUGUUCCGGUGAAUACGUUCUCGCUCUUUGUACACACCGCCCGU